rnacentral:lncRNA from 1 species
AUGUCCUGUAUAGAUAAACGUCAGAUGAUUCAACAGAUGCACAGCUCAGACAUGCUGACCACUUCUGUGUUGCAAGAUUGUCUUUCUCCACAAGCACCACUGUCACUAGUACAGUCAAGAGAUGUGCUUGAAGCGAUGCUUAUUCCCAUGCAAUUGCCCUGGAUUGCCAGUUUCUCACAAGGGUUCUCUUCUCCAGAACUCAGCCUUUCUCCCAGAUGCAGAACCUGUCCUGCUGUCUGCUUAGUCUGGCUUUGCUAAGCAUCUAAAUGCUCUGGUUUUGGAUUUGGCUCUAAACAGACAAUGUGCAGUGUGGGAUCCAGCCAGAAAGAAGUGAUUGAACAGUGAAGGUAUGCUAGUUUCAUAUUUUUCUUGUUUGAUCUUUUGUUGAUUUUUUUUUUUUUUUCCCCUUCUCUCAUACAAUCUCUUUCUUUCCUCCCUCUUCUGGUCGGUUGUGUUUGCACUUGUUAGGUUGAGGGCCUAUAAAUACCUUAUCAGAAAAACGUAAGGGGCAUAUCAGAUCCAGUCAAAGUGGAGUGCUGGGUAUAGGGGAGUUUGUGCAAGGCAUGCAGGUAAGAGAAGGAGGCACAAAGGGGAUGGUUAGUCACGCUGGAGUUUUGAUUUUUUUUUCUCCCUUUUUUAUUCUGGAAUCUUUGGGACUGUGUUGUUUAAAUUUAGAUAUGUAGCAUGAAUUUUGAGCUCAAAACCCAUGGUACCUUCCAGAAUAGGGUUGUAUAUGACUUGAUUAUACUUGGAAGUUUUCCAGAUUUGCUGCAGCACUUGAAAUUAAUUCCCUGUCUUAAUCCAAGGUAACUUUCAAGUGUAGACAGGCCUAACAGUUCAGCACUAACAUUUACUUAACUUUGGCAAAAGUUCCAGGUGUUCAAGGAAUGCAGAAUCAUUCAGUAAGGAAUGCAGAAUUUUACCUCAUUCAUUUGUAUUAAUGAGUUAUUUCCUAAGAGGCUUUUGAUAGCUUAAUUUUGGUAAUUGAACCUUCAAAUUAAAGGUUGUAUAGACAAAGUCAUAAAACUACCUGUAAGUAAGAGUUAGUCCUUACUAAUGUCUAAGAAUCAUUUCUGUGAUCUUGAAAUACUUUGGUAGGAAAAUAUUUUCAUACUAAGCUGAUCAUUUAUGGAAUUAAUUCUGCUUUCAGAAUUAGAAUAUCCCAGUCAAUAUGGAAAUUAACAUUUUGUAAGGCUGUAUACCCUCUUAUUUCUUUUGGUGGGUUAAGCACUUUUAAAUAGUGUUAGGAUAGUGUUAAAUAGUGUCAAGUGAUCAUCAAAUGCCUACAUACUGCAGUAACUAUUCUGAGUAUACUUCUGCUUGUGGCAAUGGGUUCAUCAUGAGAACAUGUUCAUUAGCAGGAAUCAUAUUCAUUGUUGUACUAACUACAGCAUGUAGUCUCUAGCUCUAUGUUUAGUUCCAAAGCCCCAGUCUAGCAUCAUUACUGAAGCCAGAUAUGAUUCUGAGUUCCAUAGAGUUGUGGAGAUUACCCAGGCAAUAAUGAUUUUGUAUGGCAACGUUUUGAGAACAAACUAGUUCUAAUUCUGUUGUUAAACUCCAGUGUACUAAAAAAUGUUAGUUUAUGUGAAAUUUGAUUUCACAGGAAGUUGAACAGCGUGGCUUUAGUUCAAAAAAAUAAUCAUUGGCUUACUAUAGAUAACACUAUGAUUGUCAACAGUUUCUGCUUAAAAUUAUGUGCUUCAAGUUAUUUGCUGAAUCAGUGGUAAAUGUGCUAAGUGUCUUGCACAGCUGAGCUCCUUGCUGGGUAGCCAAUGUGUCAAGCACUCAAGAAUGUGGCUGAUGGCAAGGCUGUUAAGCUUCUGCAAAUCCAGAGUAAUGUGGGAUGCAUCUGUACAUUAUAACUGUGAUCUUUGGGUCUGGGCUGACCAAGGCUGGGCUAUCUACGCAGCUUAGAACUGUAAAGAUUCAAACAAAAUAAUAUGGAAUUGUAUCCACGUUAAUAAAGCCCGUCCCUGAAAAGGAUUGGUUAGUUAG